UUCCGGUUGAUCCCGCCGGACCUGACUGCUAUCGGAUUGAUACUAAGCCAUGCGAGUCAUUGUAGCAAUACAAGGCAGACGGCUCAGUAACGCGUAGUCAACCUAACCUAUGGACGGGAAUAACCUCGGGAGACUGAGAAUAAUGCCCGAUAGAACACUAUACCUGGAAUGGUUUGUGUUCCAAAUGAUUUAUCGCCGUAGGAUGGGACUGCGGCCUAUCAGUUUGUUGGCGGGGUAAUGGCCCACCAAGACUAUUACAGGUACGGGCUCUGAGAGGAGUAGCCCGGAGAUGGGUACUGAGACACGGACCCAGGCCCUAUGGGGCGCAGCAGGCGAGAAAACUUUGCAAUGUGCGAAAGCACGACAAGGUUAAUCCGAGUGAUUUGUGCUAAACGAAUCUUUUGUUAGCCCUAGAACCACUAACGAAUAAGGGGUGGGCAAGUUCUGGUGUCAGCCGCCGCGGUAAAACCAGCACCUCAAGUGGUCAGGAUGAUUAUUGGGCCUAAAGCAUCCGUAGCCGGCUCUGUAAGUUUUCGGUUAAAUCUGUACGCUUAACGUACAGGCUGCCGGGAAUACUGCAGAGCUAGGGAGUGGGAGAGGUAGACGGUACUCGGUAGGAAGGGGUAAAAUCCUUUGAUCUAUUGAUGACCACCU
rnacentral:rRNA from 1 species